GGCCAUCGCUCAACGGAUAAAAGCUACCCCGGGGAUAACAGGCUUAUCUCCCCCAAGAGUUCACAUCGACGGGGAGGUUUGGCACCUCGAUGUCGGCUCAUCGCAUCCUGGGGCUGUAGUCGGUCCCAAGGGUUGGGCUGUUCGCCCAUUAAAGCGGUACGCGAGCUGGGUUCAGAACGUCGUGAGACAGUUCGGUCCCUAUCCGUCGUGGGCGUAGGAAAUUUGAGAGGAGCUGUCCUUAGUACGAGAGGACCGGGAUGGACAUACCUCUGGUGUACCAGUUGUCGUGCCAACGGCAUAGCUGGGUAGCUAUGUAUGGACGGGAUAAGUGCUGAAAGCAUCUAAGCAUGAAGCCCCCCUCAAGAUGAGAUUUCCCAACUUCGGUUAUAAGAUCCCUCAGAGAUGAUGAGGUUAAUAGGUUCGAGGUGGAAGCGUGGUGACACGUGGAGCUGACGAAUACUAAUCGAUCGAAGACUUAAUCAAUUU
rnacentral:rRNA from 1 species